AUACGUAGGGGGCGAGCGUUGUUCGGAUAUAUUGGGCGUAAAGGGUGCGUAGGCGGCCUUGUAAGUCCGCUGUGAAAGAUCAUGGCUUAACUGUGGUCAGCAUUUGAAACUGCAGGGUUUGAGUACAGGAGAGGAGAGUGGAAUUCCUAGUGUAGCGGUGAAAAGCGUAGAUAUUAGGAGGAACACAAGUGGCGAAGUCGCUUCACUAGCCCGAAACUGACGCUCAGUCACGAAAGCGUGGGUAGCAAAUAGGAUUAGAUACCCUAGUAUUCCACGCUGUAAACGAUGACAACUAAAUAUUGCCGCGAGGCAGUGUUGAAGCUAACGCAUUAAGUUGUCCGCCUGGGGAGUACGGUCGCAAGACUGAAACUUAAAGGAAUUGACGGGG
rnacentral:rRNA from 1 species